GACGAAUGCUGGCGGCGUGCUUAACACAUGCAAGUCGAACGGAAAGGCCCUGCUUUUGUGGGGUGCUCGAGUGGCGAACGGGUGAGUAACACGUGAGUAACCUGCCCUUGACUUUGGGAUAACUUCAGGAAACUGGGGCUAAUACCGGAUAGGAGCUCCUGCUGCAUGGUGGGGGUUGGAAAGUUUCGGCGGUUGGGGAUGGACUCGCGGCUUAUCAGCUUGUUGGUGGGGUAGUGGCUUACCAAGGCUUUGACGGGUAGCCGGCCUGAGAGGGUGACCGGCCACAUUGGGACUGAGAUACGGCCCAGACUCCUACGGGAGGCAGCAGUGGGGAAUAUUGCACAAUGGGCGGAAGCCUGAUGCAGCAACGCCGCGUGCGGGAUGACGGCCUUCGGGUUGUAAACCGCUUUCGCCUGCGACGAAGCGUGAGUGACGGUAAUGGGUAAAGAAGCACCGGCUAACUACGUG
rnacentral:rRNA from 1 species